AUUGAACGCUGGCGGCAGGCCUAACACAUGCAAGUCGAACGGUAACAGGAAGCAGCUUGCUGCUUUGCUGACGAGUGGCGGACGGGUGAGUAAUGUCUGGGAAACUGCCUGAUGGAGGGGGAUAACUACUGGAAACGGUAGCUAAUACCGCAUAACGUCGCAAGACCAAAGAGGGGGACCUUCGGGCCUCUUGCCAUCGGAUGUGCCCAGAUGGGAUUAGCUAGUAGGUGGGGUAACGGCUCACCUAGGCGACGAUCCCUAGCUGGUCUGAGAGGAUGACGAGCCACACUGGAACUGAGACACGGUCCAGACUCCUACGGGAGGCAGCAGUGGGGAAUAUUGCACAAUGGGCGCAAGCCUGAUGCAGCCAUGCCGCGUGUAUGAAGAAGGCCUUCGGGUUGUAAAGUACUUUCAGCGGGGAGGAAGGUGUUGAGGUUAAUAACCUCAGCAAUUGACGUUACCCGCAGAAGAAGCACCGGCUAACUCCGUGCCAGCAGCCGCGGUAA
rnacentral:rRNA from 1 species